UACGUAGGGGGCAAGCGUUGUCCGGAAUCAUUGGGCGUAAAGCGCGCGUAGGCGGCUCGAUCAGUCUGUUGUGAAAGUCAAAGGCUCAACCUUUGAAUGCCGAUGGAUACUGUCGAGCUAGAGUCCGGAAGAGGCGGGUGGAAUUCCUGGUGUAGCGGUGGAAUGCGCAGAUAUCAGGAGGAACACCAACGGCGAAGGCAGCCCGCUGGGACGGUACUGACGCUAAGGCGCGAAAGCGUGGGGAGCGAACAGG
rnacentral:rRNA from 1 species